rnacentral:rRNA from 1 species
GCUUGUCUCAAAGAUUAAGCCAUGCAUGUCUUAGUGUAAAUAACUCUUAUGAAACUGCGAAUGGCUCAUUAAAUCAGUUAUCGUUUAUUUGAUGGUCCCUUACUACAUGGAUAACCGUAGUAAUUCUAGAGCUAAUACAUGCAUCAACUCCCAACUGCUUGUCGGACGGGAUGUAUUUAUUAGAUUGAAACCAAUGCGGGGCAACCCGGAUUCAGGUGAUUCAUAAUAACUUUCGGAUCGAUCUUCGGAUCGAUGCAUCAUUCAAGUUUCUGCCCUAUCAGCUUUGGAUGGUAGGGUAUUGGCCUACCAUGGCUUUAACGGGUAACGGAGAAUUAGGGUUCGAUUCCGGAGAGGGAGCCUGAGAAACGGCUACCACAUCCAAGGAAGGCAGCAGG